AAAAGAACAACUGUAUGGGUGUGGGAGGGGGGGUAGUUUAGUUUUGUUUUGUGUUUUUAAUGAAAAGAACAAUCAAAACUGCUCCCACUUAAAAAAAAAAAAAGACAUUGAAGCCAGUUUCAUUUGAACAUCAUUAUUUUAGUUCAGUUAAAAAAAAAAAAAAAAAAAAGAUUGCUGGAUGAGAUAGAUGUAAAGCCAUGAGUAGAUAAUCUAUUGCCUGAAAGCAAUGGGAAGCAAUGGGAAAAGGAAAUCCUAAAGCCCAGUAAAGACCAUGCAAGUCCUUGGACUGAUUCUACCAUGAGAGACAGCAUAAGAACUAAAGCAAAUCAAAACUCCUUAGAAAAUGCAAAAUUGUUAGGAAACCCACGGUCAGUUGUUCCAGGUUUCAGGCACAACGUUGGCAAUCCUGAAAUGUUUUCAUUACCUUCUUCCAUUUAACCUGGAAAGCUAUCCCAUGGAUUUGGUCAUCUGUUUUAGAUUAAUUGAACUGAAAUUUUACUUGCAUAUUGCCCAAAUUCAUUGUAAAGGCCCUGGUUUAUAGUAUUUACAAAAGACCCAGGUAUUAAUGUAGGCCGUCUGCCGGGAACAUACAGUGUUUGUUGGAUAUUAGGGAGGGUGAUGCUAAUAUUGAAAUUAAGUCUCUGCCUUCAAGAUUCUAGCUAGGUGGUAAUAAAUAGGGCAAAAGGUCCAAGGGCAUGCGAUGAAACACUGCAAAACCUGAAGUUCCCUCUGGGAGAGGAGAAAGAGUGUCACCUACAUGUUUUAAGCAUAGAGAGGAAAACGCAUGCGUUAAAGGGAAAUCCACAUCCCACCCAGGGAGCCAGUUUGGAAGAAACGGAAGCUUGUUGAAAUGUCGGUGCCUGCUUUGUCAACUCUAGCCUUGCAUUGCCAAAGCAGGGGUAGAAUCCAGAGAGCUCAGAAGUCAGGAGGCUCAGGACAGUCUGGUGCACGUGAGGGCGGCCGAGUGCGGACUGGCGCAGUGCGGAUUGGCGCAGUGCAGACUGGCGGUAGAGCUCCCCUUCAGUCUUCCUCCGCCCUGCAACCGUGGCCUCCGGUGGGUGUUUUCCAAGAAGCAACUCCUUCUCGUUUCUGAAAACGAUGCUCAUAACAGAAACGUCCAGUGAAGCCUUUAGGGAUGCCUGAACAUGGAAAGAAAAUGGUUUAUUUAAGAGCCCAACCCACACCUGGAGAUAGGAGAUGGCGAAGACAUUUAUUAGAGGUGGGGACAUUUCCAGUUGAACAAGACAACAAAGGAAGGCAUCCUGAAGAGUAGAGAGAAGCCAAGAGAUGUCAGAAACCCUCCCAGACAGGUAGCUCAGGGUUUGGUAAUCGACACACAAGAUGGACUAUCAGAGAGAAGAGCACUUUUUUAAAGGGAAGAGUUGUACUGUGAUGGGAUAAGAAAGAAAGCUUUCCAUGCUUUGUAGACUGUGCCAUGGUAAAAAGGGGAGUCAGACUAUGACAGCCGGGAUGACAUUUCAUGAGACACUAUCCCUCUUAAAAAGUACCCAGAUAUCCUAGGGAUGUAGAGCGUUGGCAUACUUAUUAUUUAGGGGGUGCUUUGUUUCGUGUAAUUCAUGUGGAGAACUAAGAGUAGAUUUGAACUCGGCACUAUACAAUGAGCAUGAAUGAUUAAUCCUCUCCAUGUUUUCAUGCCGGAAUGUUUCUCAUCCCAACUAUAGGUCAUUACUUCAAAAUUGCCAAUGAAUAUAAUUGGAUACAAACCAUAAACAAGAGAUUUAUGCAUGAUGAAAUUAAAUUAUAAUUAUAAAACAGUGCACUUGGGUUCGGGUUGCUGGUGAGGUUUUAAAGUUAUAAAGAAUUUUUACAUAUGUGAGCCUCGGUUGUGUAGAAGCUCCUGCCUUUGCAAGUUUUAGACAGAAGGCAGUCCGUGAAUGACUUGCAUCUAUCAGCUCCAUCGAUGUACGCUGAAGUUCUCUCUGACACGCCUCUUGAGAAGAGCCACUCUUCCAGGCUAGCCUUUCAGGCUGAGCAAAGGCCCACAACCCUUUUGCCAUUUGAGGGAUUUCCCAGGGACCUUUGGCACUCAUAUAUUUUCUUGGUAUUUACUUCCCAUGACAUGUUUUAGCUCCACCAUACAACCGUGCUUAAAAUAUCUCAACCCUUUUUGGCCUGGGAGAAGUUUUAGAGACUGUCACAUUUAAUCUUCUCUUCCUGUAACUAAGGGACACAGAGCGAUUUGCCCACGGUCAAAACCUAUCGACAAAACUAGGGCAGGAAACAAAGUACAUAGUCUCUUUUCAGACAAUAACAGCACCAUCCUUCUGGGUCUGAUUUGUGACAUUCUCCAAGUGUUUUGGUUAGGAUUUCUUUUCUAAAUGAUUUAUAAAUCCUUUGAUAGUUGGGAACAUUCUGUAGGGCUUUCUUUCCUUCUUACCGUGUGAUGCUACAAACACAUAUAAAGAAACAGUAGUUCUGUUCAAUGUAGUGGGUAAAGUUGGAGAAUACCCUUCUUAAAUUCGGGUAGAAUUGACAUAGACUAAAGUAGCCAUUUUAAAGUUUACCGUUCAGGGACAUUUAGCACAUUUCAUUAUGUUCCACAUCCCCUGCCUUAUUCAGUCUCCAAAUGUUUUUAUUAAACCUAAGACACUCUCUGUCUAUUAAGAAGUUACUCAUUGCUAUCUUCCUUUCUAGCCCCAGGAAAUGACCAAUCUGCUUUCUUCCACUACAAAUACGUCUGUUCUGGACAUUUCAUAAAGACAGAAGCAUCCACAGUA